GAAAAGAAACCAACAGGGAUUGCCUUAGUAACGGCGAGUGAAGCGGCAAAAGCUCAGAUUUGAAAUCUGGCGUCAUUUUGGCGUCCGAGUUGUAGUCUGUAGAGGAGCAUUCGAGUGUAGCGCUGGCUUAAGUUCCUUGGAACAGGGCGUCAUAGAGGGUGAGAACCCCGUUAACGGCCUUUGUCUUAUGCUCAUGUGAAUCUCCUUCAACGAGUCGAGUUGUUUGGGAAUGCAGCUCUAAAUGGGUGGUAAAUUCCAUCUAAAGCUAAAUACUGGCAAGAGACCGAUAGCGCACAAGUAGAGUGAUCGAAAGAUGAAAAGAACUCUGAACAGAGAGUUAAAUAGUACGUGAAAUUGUUGAAAGGGAAGCACUUGCGACCAGACACACUUGCAGUUGAUCAACCUCCAUUUUUGGUGGUGCACUCGGUUGUAGGUGGGUCAGCAUCAGUUACAGCGGUGGGAAAAAGACCGAGGGAAUGUGGCUCCCUUCGGGGAGUGUUAUAGCCCUUGGUGUAAUGCUGCCAG
rnacentral:rRNA from 1 species